GCGUCGGUGGCAGAGUGGUCAAAUGCACGAGGCUGUAAACCUCGCGACUUACGUCUACGCAGGUUCAAAUCCUGCUCGGCGCACAA
rnacentral:tRNA from 1 species